AACGAACGCUGGCGGCAUGCCUAACACAUGCAAGUCGAACGAGACCUUCGGGUCUAGUGGCGCACGGGUGCGUACCGCGUGGGAACCUGCCCUUAGGUUCGGAAUAACUCCCCGAAAGGGGUGCUAAUACCGGAUAAUGUCUUCGGACCAAAGAUUUAUCGCCUUUGGGUGGGCCCGCGUUGGAUUAGCUAGUUGGUAGGGUAAAAGCCUACCAAGGCGACGAUCCAUAGCUGGUCUGAGAGGAUGAUCAGCCACACUGGGACUGAGACACGGCCCAGACUCCUACGGGAGGCAGCAGGGGGGAAUAUUGGACAAUGGGCGAAAGCCUGAUCCAGCAAGGCCGCGUGAGUGAUGAAGGCGUUAGGGUUGUAAAGCUCUUUUACCCGGGAUGAUAAGGACAGUACCGGGAGAAUAAGCUCCGGCUAACUCCGU
rnacentral:rRNA from 1 species